UCUCCCUUCUUAAUGGGGCUGCUGUAGUACUGCUCUGAAAAACUACAGGGCGACAGCCUGCCAGCAUUCCUGUAGGAGUACGCACCAAUAUCCUCCACGCUCAAUUGCCUCCAUCGCCCAGGCAGGUCUUCUUCUGAAAGUUUGUCCCUGGAAGGAUUUCAUGAGCGUGGUUGCCAGCUGCAGUAUGCAGGCCAGUUCUCAGAGGCAUUUAAUGAGGAGCAGGGUGACAACUGCCAGGGAUGUUUCCUGUUUUGUCCCACACUGAGACAGUAAUCCCAGGACACCCAUUCUUGUCUCCACACUUCUUCAUAAAGCUAGUAGAGCCUGGCUUUCAGGAAUGCUGUUACAUUACGGUGCUCAUCAAAAUAAUUAUAUGGUCAUAGUGAAAUUAAAGGAGUAGAGACUUCAACUGAGCUACUGGUAAGGAGCAAAACAUUUUGCAAAAAGAAAAAGAAGUCAUGUGAAUUGGGUAGAAAAGGAGUAGUACCAUUCCUGCGGGCCACACGAAGUAAGCUCAUCAGGCUUCUAGCUUGAAGCUGUCACUCUGAUGACUGACUGUUUGAUGCUCAAACUUUCUAGCCACACAGGUUCAACUGUGGAAAUGGAGAAAUUGCUGGAGACAGGAUAUUGCUUAGACUCUGCUUAAAUGGGCUGGGCAAAAAAAAAUUCACAUUUAUUUCUCUGAGUAAAGAAGUAAAAUGGCCUAGGAAAGAAAGUGUGGAAUUCUGAACUUUAUAAUCUUAUAUUAAUUCUUAUUAAUUGCAGAUCAUUUUAAUAUGCAAGUGAAUUCUAAUUAGAGUUAACUAUCUAAGCAAGUGCAAUUUCACAACCAAAUAACAAAACUAAGGCUAGACUAUUUACAGUACUUUGCUAUUUAAUAUUUUGUUCUGCCUCAGGAAUUUUUAAAUUCACAUUUCCUGUCACCUUUUGACAUUUUAUUCUUAAUAAUUACUUGGGUAGAAGAAAAAUUAAACUCCCCUCCCCUUCCCCCUUGUAAUUGCUGUCUUAAAAUAACUGUUUAGCUAAAUGCUCUCUCUUGAGAGUCAAGAUACUUCUUGCUAAGAAAAGUUUGCUCUGAUUUAUCACACUCCUGUGGCAAGGCUGGUUUUCCUCUCUAGGUUUAUACUUGCACUUGAGUGCAUAAGGUCUGUUCUUGCAGCGAAGACUUGUGCCGAGCCCGAUUUGUGUCCCAGCCCUGCUCUGUGGUGCCUGACCAGCUCAGAGCCAGCCCUAGCAGUCCUGCUCUCCCUGCAGCACUUGUCACAAUAGUAAUCCUGGUAUUAGUCUUAUUGCUGUAUUAUCGUUACCCUGUAGGCUUUGUCUCCUGGCUACCCCAGUUCACAUCUAGGGCUCUUCCUCUUGUUGAAUUUGAUCCUUAUAAACAUGUCCAUGUCCAAUGUGUGUAUGCCUUUAUAUUCUGCUCUCCUUACCUCUUAAAGCUAUUCAAUAUACAUUGAAACAUCAACUGGGAUAUUGAUUGGAAAGAUUCGGUAAGCUGGCUGAAAAAAGGCUAGUGUAGUACAGGGAAUAAGCAUAAUGCACUUGUGUUCUGUGUGAAUUAGUCCUUCCUUUUUAAUUAAAAAAUAUCUCCACUCUUGACUUUGUAAAAUCUCAUGUUGGGUAAAGCUAUUUAAGGUUUGGUGGUGGUUUUUUUCCCCCUCCAAUCAACCCCAGCCCCUUGAGAACAUUGUGAGAAAAUUCCUAUAAGCUCUUUUCAAGGGAAAGCAGGGAAAAUUCAUUUAAAUAAAAUGAUCUGUUCAAAUAUCCAGCCCCUCAGACCCUGCUAAAUAGCAUUUUUUUUGGCAGUAACCCAAUUCAAACUGCCAUAACCAAGUAUAAUGACUAUAUUAAGUAACUAGUGCGAAAAAAGUCUAAAAAAGAAUAGAGUCGUUAUGGAGAUUGCUUGAACAGAGACAAUUUUGCUUCCAAUCCUGUUAAUAUGUUACUCAGGUCUCCUCUGCCUCCUAAUGCGGUUCUCUGCAGAGCUGUUUUGGUGGUUGUUGUUGCAGUGUUUUUUAAUAUCGCUUUAAUUGUGGGUCUUCAGAAUUGCUGAGAAACCCUGGGUGGAGGGACAGGCAGGAGUGUGCUAGACAGCUGGUGUGAUGUGUGCUGCAUGGCUGGCAUCACAUGAGGCUUUGCUAGAUAUGGUCACUUUUGAUCCUCAUAUCAGGGCCACUGUUUCUACCGACUAAUGUUUGAGGGGUAAUCUCUCCUGGUAUAAAGCAAGGCUGAAGAAUGGAUCUCUCUAUGUACUGAUUAAGCUUUACUGUAAAGGAAGUGCAACGCUUCCUCCCCAUCUGACUGCUGGGAUCAAAUCCAAAAAAAAAUGAAACACAGAUAUAUUUUUAUGAAAGGAUUUGCUCCUACAAGCAGAUAGGAAACUCACUGCUGUAUGUUCCUUAUGCUGCUGUUCGGGGGAGUCACUUGAGCCAUUGCCUCCAGAGUUUGUGCAGAUGAGAGAGACUCUACCUUCUGGUCAAGAGAAAUGUGAUAACCUUUCUUCUGUGUCGUAAGAUCAACUGUCUUUCUUGAAUCAGCUCAACUCUCCUCUGUGCCAUUUCAGAGCUAUGCUGGAAUUUCAUUUGCUUCCUUAACUAUUCUGCAUUAAUACUGUAACUCCACAGUCCUUUAUUUCAGUUGUCAAUCUGGUUUAAAGGGCUUUGCUGCUGCACAGCAGUUCGUGGCCCCGUCAGCUGUGCUGGCACAACUUCAUUGCCAUCCUGAAAACCAGGAUGGUGAAAAAAACCCUAUGAAAUGGAAAAAAAAGCUUUGCUUGGGAAAGAGGUCUUUUAAGCUAUCUUUGCCAUUAAGGAAAGUGUACAUGCACUCAAUACCUUCAGUAUUUCUUCCUGGCAUUCAGACAUCUAGCUCACAGUCUGAAUGUUGUCCUGUACUAUCUCAAGAUUCAGUUUUCUUUCACCCUAGAGCUUUGCAAAAAUUUGAACACUGCAAUUUCUUGAUACCAUUUAUCAUAGCUAUUCAUAUAUUUCCAAAUAAUAGUAAGCCUCUAAGGUAUUAUUUCACAGCAGCUUAUAAAUAUUAAUAUCCUCUUCAGCAGAGGCUAAGGCAGACCUUCCCUUAUUUAUAUGUCUAGAGUGUCGUUGUCCAAGUCUAAGCUAGUCACCUUCCUGACUUCCUUCAAUCAACACAGAGAUUUCUUCAAACUAUGAAAUUCCUCAUUGUACAGUGAUUGUCAGAGGAAUGGUGCCUGUUUAUCUCCACUGGCUGUCAGAGAUGUUGAGGAUAAAAAUGCUUCAGACAUUUACAUGCUAAAUAGACAUCUUGCUUUUAGAUACUUAAAACUAGGUAAAAUGAAGUAACUUUAAGUAACUAGCUCAAUGGCAUACAAAUCAUGUUUGGCAGAGGCAAGAACCGAAUCCAUGUCUCCCAAGACAUGUCUUGUAAUUCAUGGGAAGCUCACUUUUCUGUGCCUGUAACUGUCCUGAGGGAAAAGCAGCGUGAAGGGAUUUUGCGACUAAUGUGAAUCUAGCUGAGACAGGCUUUUAGUAAGUUGAUUGGAAAUGACCUGUUGCCAGAUUUGAUGGGAAAACCUCAAGAAAUGGAGAAUAUGCUACUUCCCUGCAUUACAGGAGCUCUGUGCCUCUGCAUUUGCAAACACUCUUCCCCAACUGAGCAGGUCCAGAUCCUGAGUGUAGUCAUCGUUCUGGCUUUGUCUAAUAUGCUGUCUGAUAUUUAGCAUUUUCUCCCUGUAAAGACAUUUAUACAAAUCAGUCAUGUCUCCUUUCUACACUGAACGAGUGAGCUCCUGGAGUCUCUUGCUGAGGCAGCUUCUUUACUUCUCAGUCUUACUUUUCAGUUGUCGGUCAGCUUGAGCGCUUUUCCGCACCCUUUUAAAAAACGUAAAUAUCAGAACAUUAGCCACCGUCUUCAAAGUGGAUUUUCCCUUGUCUGAAACCAUGACAAAAGUAUCGUUCUACCCUAUUUACUUUUCCCAUGCUUAUACAAAUACCACCGUUAUUGUCUUUGCCAUAGUGUGCUGCCGGGAGCUCACGUUGCAUUGUUCAGCCAGCCUGCCUUUCAGAGUCACUGACCUUUUCUGAGUUUCUGCUUUCCAGAGUACAACCCCCUCUCUCCACUUCCCCCUUCCCAUUUUUUUUUAUAUGGUCUGCAAAGGUUUUACGCUUCUAGGUAUCUGUGGGAAAACAUAUUUAGACUGAAUGGGCACAGUUUAUGGAAGGCACAGGCCAUUCUGAAUAAUUUCCUUAUCAACAUCUAACAAUGCUGCUAAUCCUUUUUAGCUCAUUUUAUCAGCAAUAAUUUUAUGUUUACUUUUAGGACACUGUUGAAAACAUUGAUCGAUGCUGAGAACCGUACCAAUCCUGGGCUGUCCUGAUCUAGCCCUUUGAAAAGACUCUUUUGUAAUGGAAAUAGCCCUGUGCCUGCUACUUUUUGAAGUGUCUUUUUGUAAUCUUGCAACCCAUCUACUAACUGCUUUUGAUACUGUAUCACUGUAGUUUUGUAAUAACAAUUCUAUUAAGUGGUACUUGUCAUAUCUUGCUAUCCAAAUAUAUCUACUCAAUUGCUUUUGCUAAAGAAAUUAUGGUUUAUUUAACAAUUUUUCAUAAAAUCAUGUUGACUUCCAUUAUUUAUACUCCUGUGAUUUAGUUUUCCAGUAGCUGAACAUCAUAAACAAUCACUUUGUGAUUUGUACAACCUCUCUUUACCCCAUUCUAUGCUUGAUCUCUUGGAUUUGGUACAGACGAGCAUUUUUUUCAACCUCUGAGAAUUAUCUCAACAUUCAAAGACAUUUAAAAUAAACAUCAGCUUAACACAUUAGUAUGUAUUUUUAAUUUAGCUUGGAGUAGGAAGCUGGGAAUCUGCUCAGACAGUUCUUUUAGGACUCUUAAGUGGAAGCUUAUGUAGGCUGCUGUUUUUUCAAAGAAAUAUUUUUGCAAGUGGUCCCUAAGACAUAUUGUUCAACCUUGUCUGUAGUUUCCAUUGAAUUUGGAAGCUGGAUUGCAAUCAGUAGUAAAAUAAUGUUCUGGCUUAAAGCAAAGUGUGGCACAAGAUCUCUGCCUCCUGAGUGAAGACGGAAAGAUGCUCAUCUGGCUUCUGGCCCAUGUGGCAAGGCAAGGACUUGAAGUGGCAUGGAAUGCCCCAGUUAGGUCAGAAGGCGACAUUUCCCAGCGCAGGCAACCUACAACAGUGGCUUUGCAAAGCUGGUGUGAGAAGCACGUGACAGUUACAGUACAGUCAUGAGGGAGCUGUUUCACAUUUAGACAACCCAGGGCCGCAGAGGCAAGAUGAAGGGCUUUGCCCCCAGCAUUAUUGUCCCUAAGUUUUGAGGCACCCCAACAGCAGAAGCACUUAGUUUAUCUCUCAGUGUUACACUGAGUGGUUUUGACAAAUCCUCUGCAAAGCAUCAGAGAUGGCAUCUCAGUCUGUAAUGAGCUUUUCAGUCUAACCUUAACACACUUGAUUUGUUUUUUUAAUUGUGAUGUUUGUCAAGUGACAUUUCUCUGAAAGUUAAUUACUUCUUAUAACUAAUUCAUUUGAUUUCAGACACAGCUCUCUGGGAAAAAGAAAAAAUACAAAACCCCAAACAAAACACAAAACUUCCUGGUAAACACAUAGUGUUAAAAUGAAUUAUUUUUAAUUUGCUCUUUUGGUAAUUUGGUUUUUUUGCCCUUCUCUAAGGGAUGGUCCUUCAGUCAUGGAUGCUGAAAUCAUUUGACAGCUACUUCCUUCCUGCCAAGGGUAUAUGGAAAGGUUUUCUAUGCCAGUAAGAAGACCAUUGUGAUCAACUUAUCUGAUCCAUCUAGCUCAUGCCAUAAACGUUUCAGUCAGCAGUUCCUGUGUUUGAAGAAUCCAUAUUUUUUUCUAUUCAUUCACAGAAUAUUGUCCCUGAAAGAGUAUAUGAUAAGAAAGAGAAGUUGUCAUCUGCUGAAGAGUCAACACACUCAACUACAUGUUACCCAAGGAGAGCAGCCCCAUGACUGAGGACCACUUCUGAAAAUUUAGCUUUUGUCUCUGUGAGGCCUGAAGAUCUUGGAAAAUCUGGCGCUACAAAUAUUCAAGCAUUAAAUACAGAGCGAUGCUGAGAAAACACUGAGUUUUCAAAGAGAAAUGCUUGAGGCCAAAGGCUCAUUCCUCAGGCAUAUGUGUCUGUCCUCAUACACCAGAGAAUAAGCAGAGGAUCUUUACAACUCAAGACUUGAACUAAAAAGCAGGUGCUGGUGGAUGAAAAGCUGGACAUGAGCUGGCAACGUGCGCUCGCAACCUGGAAAACCACCCGUAUCCUGGGCUGCAUCAAAAGAAGCGUGGCCAACAGGUUAAGGGAGGUGAUCCUCCCACUCUACUCCAUUCUGCCAGGAUAUUAUGGGGAGGAGAGAGGAAAAUACUGUUAAAAAGAGAGCUGGAGAAAUGAAAGAAGAGCCACCAUCAAGGCAAUCUUUUUAUUUGCCUUUUCCCUUUGGGAGCUGGAGGCCAGCCUCAUAUCCGAGUGGCAAAGCAGGCCCAAGUAUCUCACUAAGCACCUGUAGACAUCUGCUUCUGGGAAGAAAAUGUGAUGGACAUAGGGAAAGGUGGAAGACGCCUGGGAGAAAUAAGCCUGGAGUCCAUGGAGGCAAUAGGACAACCGUACAUAGAAACUGAGAUGACAUAAGAUAGCACAAAGCAAGGACAUCUGCACAAAAUUUUUAUCAUGAAGGUCAAAAUGUCAUCUGCACCCAAAUCAUCCCUCUGGAUCUGAAGCAGCGAACCUGGUGAUCCAUCCUCUCCUUGCUUUACUGGAGAUUGACAGUGAGGCUUCAGGGGAACCAGUCUGCACUUGCCUCAGUUCUUAUCUGCACUAUAGAGAUCUUUUAUCCUUGCCUAUUUAGUUGUUAAGCUCCUCAGUCUUCUAGUAUGUUUGCCAGUUGCACAGCAGGAUGGGGUUCCAGUCAGAGCUGGUUUCUCUGGAGGUGACAGUAACUUGGUUUGGAGACUGCAGCCUCAUUACUGAGCUGAUCCUGGAGCUUCACAUGGGACCUCUGAGGCACUACAGAGCUGGAAUCUGCCAUCACCUUGAGACAAAAGUGCUACCACGUGAUGCACUGUGAAUUGCCUUGUUUGUUUUUAAUCAUACAAUAAAAAUAAUUCUUCAUAAAAGAAUGGCAAAACUUGAUUCCCUUUGAUGUCAAGUAAGCACUGCCAUCAGCUUCAGGAGAAUAAUGAUUUGGGCCUCUAAUUAAAAAGAGAGUUGGGAACAACAUGCCAUUCUUCAAGAAAGACUUCUCUGAGCUGUCUUCAGUGUGAUUGCCUUCUCUACAGGCUGCGACAGGAGCUUUGAGCUUCCCUUAUCCCUCACUGACGUGAUUGAGACCGACUCGUG